rnacentral:lncRNA from 1 species
AAAAAAAAAAAAAAAAAAAAAAAAAAAAAAGAAAGAAAAAAAGAAAGGAAGGAAGAAAUACAUUAAUCAAUGGAACUGAAUUGAAGAUGCAGACAUAUAUUCACGCACCUAUGGACACCUAAUAAAUGGAUCCAAUAUAAUCCUCAGCAUAAAACUAGAUAUACCUAACCUGAAAGAAGAGGAAAAUGGGGACUAGCAUUGAGUACAUUGACACUGGAGAUAAAUUUAUGAAUAGAAUAUGGAUAGUAUAGGCACUAAGAGCAACAGUUUAAUAAACAGGACCUCCCUCAUGAAACUAAAAACUUUCUGUUAGGCAGAGGGCACCACCAAUUGGACAAAAAAUGGGAAAAGAUUUUACUUACACCAUAUCUGAUAAAGGUUUAAUAAAGAACUCAAAAGAUUAGAUAUCAAAAACCCAAAUCCAAUUAACAAUAUAAUUAAAAGUAUAAUCCAAUUAAAGACAGGCACAGAUCUAAACAGAGAAUUCUCAAUAGAAAAAUCUCUAAAAGCUGAGAAACAGUUAAAGAAAUGUUCAACAUUCUUAGCCAUC